AAGGGUUUGAUCCUGGCUCAGAUUGAACGCUGGCGGCAGGCCUAACACAUGCAAGUCGAGCGGAUGAAGGGAGCUUGCUCCUGGAUUCAGCGGCGGACGGGUGAGUAAUGCCUAGGAAUCUGCCUGGUAGUGGGGGAUAACGUCCGGAAACGGGCGCUAAUACCGCAUACGUCCUGAGGGAGAAAGUGGGGGAUCUUCGGACCUCACGCUAUCAGAUGAGCCUAGGUCGGAUUAGCUAGUUGGUGGGGUAAAGGCCUACCAAGGCGACGAUCCGUAACUGGUCUGAGAGGAUGAUCAGUCACACUGGAACUGAGACACGGUCCAGACUCCUACGGGAGGCAGCAGUGGGGAAUAUUGGACAAUGGGCGAAAGCCUGAUCCAGCCAUGCCGCGUGUGUGAAGAAGGUCUUCGGAUUGUAAAGCACUUUAAGUUGGGAGGAAGGGCAGUAAGUUAAUACCUUGCUGUUUUGACGUUACCAACAGAAUAAGCACCGGCUAACUUCGUGCCAGCAGCCGCGGUAAUACGAAGGGUGCAAGCGUUAAUCGGAAUUACUGGGCGUAAAGCGCGCGUAGGUGGUUCAGCAAGUUGGAUGUGAAAUCCCCGGGCUCAACCUGGGAACUGCAUCCAAAACUACUGAGCUAGAGUACGGUAGAGGGUGGUGGAAUUUCCUGUGUAGCGGUGAAAAUGCGUAGAUAUAGGAAGGAACACCAGUGGCGAAGGCGACCACCUGGACUGAUACUG
rnacentral:rRNA from 1 species